GACGAACGCUGGCGGCGUGCUUAACACAUGCAAGUCGAACGAUGAAACUGGAGCUUGCUCCGGUGGAUUAGUGGCGAACGGGUGAGUAACACGUGAGCAAUCUGCCCUUGACUCUGGGAUAACUGCGGGAAACUGUAGCUAAUACCGGAUACGAGACCUGAAGGCAUCUUCGGGUCUGGAAAGAAUUUCGGUCAAGGAUGAGCUCGCGGCCUAUCAGCUUGUUGGUGAGGUAAUGGCUCACCAAGGCGACGACGGGUAGCCGGCCUGAGAGGGUGACCGGCCACACUGGGACUGAGACACGGCCCAGACUCCUACGGGAGGCAGCAGUGGGGAAUAUUGCACAAUGGGCGAAAGCCUGAUGCAGCAACGCCGCGUGAGGGAUGAAGGCCUUCGGGUUGUAAACCUCUUUUAGCAGGGAAGAAGCGAAAGUGACGGUACCUGCAGAAAAAGCACCGGCUAACUACGUGCCAGCCGCCGCCGUAA
rnacentral:rRNA from 1 species